AUUGAACGCUGGCGGCAGGCCUAACACAUGCAAGUCGAACGAGUGGCGGACGGGUGAGUAAUGUCUGGGAAACUGCCCGAUGGAGGGGGAUAACUACUGGAAACGGUAGCUAAUACCGCAUACCAUCGGAUGUUCCCAGAUGGGAGUAGCUAGUAGGUGGGGUAACGGCUCACCUCGGCGACGCUCCCUAGCGGGUCUGCGAGGAUGACCAGCCACACGGGAACUGAGACACGGUCCAGGAUCCGCCGGGAGGCAGCAGUGGGGAAUAUUGCACAAUGGGCGCAAGCCGGAUGCAGCCAUGCCGCGUGUAUGAAGAAGGCCUUCGGGUUGUAAAGUACUUUCAGCGGGGAGGCGUUACGCGCAGAAGAAGCACCGGCUAACUCCGUGCCAGCAGCCGCGGUAAUUC
rnacentral:rRNA from 1 species